rnacentral:rRNA from 1 species
GGGGGACCUGCGGAGGGAUCAUUA